UCCCUGGCGGUCCAGUGGUUAGGACUCGGCACUUGCACUGCCGGGGGCCCCGGGUUUGAUCCCUGGUUGGGGAA
rnacentral:tRNA from 1 species